UUGCGAUGCUCCUUCUGAAGGGGCUCAACGACUUUUCCCUGUUGGAGCCAAUUGUUGGGGACUGUCCUGAGGAACAGCUGAUACGGAAGUGGUUUGAUAGGAAAGGGGAUGAGAAUAAAUCUACAUAACUACAGGGAGUUUCGGUUGAUGGGAAUCAUGUCACAACUUGAAGAAAGGGAAAAACCUUCUCUGGAAAGAUUAUCGAGUUUGCCUGAAUUAAAUGGAGAUUUGUCUCUCUUUCUGCCUAUGUGAACUGCUUUCAAGCCAUGUACGUGGGUGUGUUCUCGGAUCUGAGUGCAUUAGAGCUGUAAGGAACAAGACCAAGUAAAAGGUCUCUAUCAAGUGAUGGGAAACACAACUGAAGCACUCUGAAGCACUGCAACAUUGGAUAAUGAUCUGAAGAAACCUUUCUGUUACAGCAUCCUAAAUUUAUUUGGUGAGGAUAAGCUUAUCACUUGAAAUUGGUCUACUUGCUUUAAUUCUGCCAAGACCCAUCUUUCUGUUAAGGCGAUAGGUAAGAUUUCCUGAGUAUAAGGUGGACCCUGCUACAGCAUAUCUCUGAAGUUUUGAAGCAUGCGUUUACCUCAGAGAGCAACCAGCAGUUGCUUGGAAAUGCAAAGAGGAGAAAUCAGCUUGUGCCCUUCCUCACUAUGAAAUAUACGAGCAGGCGACAGGCCAGUAUUUGAGGAUUCAGUUCUUCUUAUAUGCAUGCUGAUCUUACUGAAAAAUGGAAAGAACCCUGCAAGGUGAAGGCUGAAUCUCAAGAAAACUUUCAGAGAAAGAAAAGUCCUACUUUCUGGGUCCCUGCUUCCAGAAAUUCUUGGCACAAAGGAAACGAUUCAAGCCUGCUUUCAUCUUCUACCUUCUCCCACUUUCACAAAUCUUAAGGUAUAUCAUAAGUACUUCUCAAGGGCUCUUAACAACACUUCUGAAGAGCUGGAUUUGGAUUCUCUGGUUGUUACGUAUCCUUCAUACAACAGUUAUGAGGAGCACUAAAUUGGAGGCUGCUGCAGCCAUGGAUCUCCUAGACCUUUCUUCUCAAUCCACAAGCCCUAUCUGCUGGGAUACUGGCCAGCAAGCCACAGGACAAGAAGGGCCUCACAAGAGCUUUUCUGAGCCCUGACCGCACUGGAAACAUACCCUGAAAAACAUUUUGAUAAUGUAUUUAGCACCAACUGUUUCUAGCAGUGUCAUUUUAAUUAAUUUGGUUAAAUGGUUGUAUUUGUCAUCACAUAAAACCAGGCUAACAUGGAGGAUGCAGAAAGUCCAUCUGUUCUGAGGCAAGAGGAGUAACAACAAAAUACUAAAAUAAAAUACAAAAUGCUGAUUUUGUUUACGUUGGAGACUUCUACCAGCGCAAGCAUGCUGACAUAGCUUCGGGGCAGAGGCUCUGUGGUGUAGAUGAGGCCUAAUUCAUAACUAACUUUAAACAAACUUGUUUUGACCUUUAGCUACAUCAUUCUCAUUUUGACACAGUUUUUCAGUGAACACAGGACAAGAAAAUUUCAAGUGCAUGCAAUGUUCUUAAGGACAUUACAGCAACUAUAACACUACUACCUCAUGUUUUCAGUACAGUGGAGUAAUGGAAACAGGUCUUUUCCCCUACAUCACAGCAGAUCAGUCUUCUCCUAAGCUGAUUUCCUAUGACUUCUGAGCUUAGAUAGAACAUGUAACUCAACGUAAAUUCCAUAUUUUUAUUGCAAAUAUUUCAAUUUCCAUGCACAGAAUUAGCAGUGUGUUUAUUCAACUGUUUUUUCCUUACAAAGAUUAUGAUAGGACCUCUAUUAAAAAAAAAAUAAAACCCUGACUGCUUCUCCUGCCAGUUUGAUUACAGGAAACUCCAGCCCACUUCUGGUCCUGCCAAACCAAUAGUUAACCUUUAAUGAACUUCAUGAACGUAUUUCGUUUGGUUCUUUUGAAGCCUUAUGGAAUUAAAUAGCCUUAUGAUUUCAGUAAGUGUUGUACAGAUGCUGUGUAGUGAUUACUUAUCAAGCAUCUGUUUAGAAGUAAUGCUACUGAAAAAGAAACAAUGUGGGGAAAGGAUGAGAUUCAAUGGUUUCUUACAACUGUUUUGUAGUGCAGAUACAACUGUAAACCUGUCUUAAAUGGGCUAGUUAAAUGUAGCUUAGAGCUGCUUACCUAAUGCCCCAGUUGUGGAAAGCAGUUGUAGUCUACUAGUACUCUCUCCUGGAAUCUCAGAAGAUCCGAUAAAUUGAAUAAAAAGGACUUGUGAACGCCACUGUAGAAAGUGACAUCAUCUUGUUUGUACAGCUGUUGUAUCGCAAUCAGCUCCAUAAUUCCAGUGACCAGAGUCUCCCAAAAUGCUCAUCAGUGACAUAAGCUUUAUGCUUAACAACAAAAUAAAGCCAACCAACUGCUAAUGUUUGCCUGUUCCUUCUCCAUCUUAUCCAAAAUGUGUUGGACCACUGGAUGUUGGACCAAAUGCAGCUGCACUAAGACCAACAGAGAGACAACUUUCCUUUAUGAUUAUUAAAUGGUAUAAGCUGCAUUAUGAAGAUCUUUCUGGGGUUUUUUUUGUUUUGUUUUGUUUUUUCCCCCCACUCCAGAAAUCCCUGGAUCCCAGGGAUAGGAAACCAGACUACAUGGACCAGAGACAUUUUACAUGAGUAGAACAACUUCUAAUUUCCCACUGUUCAUAAAAGAGAAGACUGACAAGGUAUGCAGUGGGGAAGAUAAAUGGAACAGAAAAUGUGAUGAAAACAGAAGAAACAAACAUUAUGAAAUAUUUAUUAGACAAUUUAUUUUUAGGACCUGUUCAAAAAUGUUAUAAAAUGAACUUUCAUCUUUCCAUACAGUUCCUUUCAGUCAGAAUCCCUAGCAUUCAAACAGAAGUCUGAAUAGUAAACAUUAGUUUUUUCUUCUACCUGUUUAAUCAUUAGUAAAAGACGUCAGAAACUGGCUUAGAGCUGCAGUUCUCCUUAUGCCAGAAACACAUUGUCUUCUUUUAGUACUAUGCUCAUAAACUGUAGUGUGGAAGACCUAAGCUUUGAUUUUUUGUAUUUAU